UACAGAGGGUGCAAGCGUUAAUCGGAAUUACUGGGCGUAAAGGGCUCGUAGGCGGCCAACUAAGUCAGACGUGAAAUCCCCAGGCUCAACCUGGGAACUGCGUCUGAUACUGGAUGGCUUGAAUUCGGGAGAGGGAUGCAGAAUUCCAGGUGUAGCGGUGAAAUGCGUAGAUAUCUGGAGGAAUACCGGUGGCGAAGGCGGCAUCCUGGACCGACAUUGACGCUGAUGAGCGAAAGCUAGGGGAGCAAACGGG
rnacentral:rRNA from 1 species